CCCUUAGAUGUUCUGGGCCGCACGCGCGCUACACUGGCGGAGUCAACGAGUUGUCCUGCAUCGGAAGGUGUGGGUAAUCUUUUGAAACUUCGUCGUGCUGGGGAUAGAUCUUUGCAAUUUUCGAUCUUGAACGAGGAAUUCCUAGUAAGCGUGAUUCAUCAGAUCGCGUUGAUUACGUCCCUGCCCUUUGUACACACCGCCCGUCGCUACUACCGAUUGAAUGGUUUAGUGAGGCCUCGGGACUGGCGCGCUCGAGUAGCAAUACACCUGCGCGCCGGGAACUUGGUCAAACUUGAUCAUUUAGAGGAAGUAAAAGUCGUAACA
rnacentral:rRNA from 1 species